rnacentral:tRNA from 1 species
GGAAGGGUAGCCCUGUGGUUAGGGUGCUAGCCUAGGAUGCAGAAGAUAUGGCUUCAAUUCCCAGCUCUGCCA